rfam:Callithrix jacchus chromosome 4, whole genome shotgun sequence
GCAGUGCCCUACUUAGAAAAGUGCCAGUCACAUAGCUUAUAUGUUACUAGAUCCUUUCCGGGUAGAGUAAGACA